rnacentral:rRNA from 1 species
UACGUAGGGGGCAAGCGUUGUCCGGAAUCAUUGGGCGUAAAGCGCGUGUAGGCGGUCCGGUAAGUCCGCUGUGAAAGUCGGGGGCUCAACCCUCGGAUGCCGGUGGAUGCUGUCGGGCUUGAGUACGGAAGAGGCGAGUGGAAUUCCUGGUGUAGCGGUGAAAUGCGCAGAUAUCAGGAGGAACACCAAUUGCGAAGGCAGCUCGCUGGGACGUUACUGACGCUGAGACGCGAAAGCGUGGGGAGCAAACAGG